GGGGAUAUAGCUCAGUGGUAGAGCGCAUGCUUUGCAUGUAUGAGGCCCCGGGUUCGAUCCCUGGUAUCUCCA
rnacentral:tRNA from 1 species